rfam:Staphylococcus haemolyticus JCSC1435 DNA, complete genome.
AUAAAUAUAUGGAAGUAGAACAUAUCUGAUAUUUUCUCAAAGUUUAUUUCGUUUUAACCCCAGCUUGCUUAGCUUGUAGAAUUUCUUUAUAAAAUUCUCUUUGCUGGGGCCCCAAACCCCAGCUUGCUUAGCUUGUAGAAUUUCUUUAUGAAUUUCUCUUUGCUGGGGCCCUGACUAGAUUUGAAAAUACUUGAUUCAAGUGCUUUUUUAAACCAGAUAGCUACUGCUAAAAUGAUAAAU